GGCAAUGUAGCUCAGUUGGUUAGAGCACAUCACUCAUAAUGAUGGGGUCGCUGGUUCGAAUCCAGCCAUUGCCACCA
rnacentral:tRNA from 1 species